GUUCUUGUCCAGGGAUUUUACGUUGUUAUUGAUCGUCAUUGUGAAACACGUAAUUGCUGAUUGCAAUCUGCCCUUUUCUACUCGUUUUCUUGCUCGCAAGGGUUUGAGAAAACAAUUUUUGAACUCUGAAAGCACUUCAG
rnacentral:snRNA from 1 species